AUGGAAAUAUCGAAGCUAUGCCUCAGUUGUUGUGAAACAACCUGUUUGAAAGAGUGUUUGGGACGCUGUCCACAUGCAUUUGUUGUUGAAUGGUGCCACGAGGAGGCGGCUGGUGAUAUAGGUUUAACUUUGGGUGCCAUAUCUAGCAGCAUAGACUUGAGUGUCAUUUACGGUGCUCUUCACCAGAAUACAAAUCAUGUUUUGGUUUCAAUGCUGUGCCACAGUGAGGGAAGUCAUUUCACAUGCUUUACCUUGGAGAAUGGGUCCUGGAUGUUCUAUGAUGCUGCGAACAAAGAGGUUGCAGGGCUCUGGGAAAACGUAAAAGAUAUUUGUGUCAAGCGUGUUCUUAAACCUCAAAUCCUGUUGUUUGCAGAACAGGAAUAG
rnacentral:rRNA from 1 species